rnacentral:misc_RNA from 1 species
AUGACUUCAUUCACGUCCGUGACCGCAGUAAGAUUCAUUUUCUGGUUCCAAUCGAGAAGAGCCUCAAUGUAAUGGUGAAUCUGGUUUUUUUGGCGGGAAGUCAGGGUCUCAAAACAGGAAGAGUUAUGAGAUGAUGUUGUAACUAUCCUUUUUGCGUUGAUUCUGCGAGGAUAAAACGCGUNNGUUUUGUUGCGAGAUCGGAAGGUGUUUGACAAAUGUCCCAAUAGAGAAAAGAAACAUGAUAUUAGCACUCCUGUAGAGGUAGAGCCUUACCAUCAUCUUUUU